rnacentral:rRNA from 1 species
UGGGGAAUAUUGGGCAAUGGGCGCAAGCCUGACCCAGCAACGCCGCGUGAAGGAAGAAGGCCCUCGGGUUGUAAACUUCUUUUAACAGGGACGAAACAAAUGACGGUACCUGUUGAAUAAGCCACGGCUAACUACGUUCACGCAGGCGCGGUAAUACGUAGGUGGCAAGCGUUAUCCGGAUUUACUGGGUGUAAAGGGCGUGUAGGCGGGACUGCAAGUCAGAUGUGAAAACCAUGGGCUCAACCCAUGGCCUGCAUUUGAAACUGUAGUUCUUGAGUGUUGGAGAGGCAGGCGGAAUUCCGUGUGUAGCGGUGAAAUGCGUAGAUAUACGGAGGAACACCAGUGGCGAAGGCGGCCUGCUGGACAAUAACUGACGCUGAGGCGCGAAAGCGUGGGGAGCAAACAGG